rnacentral:rRNA from 1 species
GAUGAACGCUGGCGGCGUGCCUAAUACAUGCAAGUCGAGCGAACGGACGAGAAGCUUGCUUCUCUGAUGUUAGCGGCGGACGGGUGAGUAACACGUGGAUAACCUACCUAUAAGACUGGGAUAACUUCGGGAAACCGGAGCUAAUACCGGAUAAUAUUUUGAACCGCAUGGUUCAAAAGUGAAAGACGGUCUUGCUGUCACUUAUAGAUGGAUCCGCGCUGCAUUAGCUAGUUGGUAAGGUAACGGCUUACCAAGGCAACGAUGCAUAGCCGACCUGAGAGGGUGAUCGGCCACAAUGGAACUGAGAACCGGUCCAGACUCCUACGGGAGGCCGCAGGAGGGAAUCUUCCGCAAUGGGCGAAAGCCUGACGGAGCAAACCCGCGUGAGUGAUGAAGGUCUUCGGAUCGUAAAACUCUGUUAUUAGGGAAGAACAUAUGUGUAAGUAACUGUGCACAUCUUGACGGUACCUAAUCAGAAAGCCACGGCUAACUACGUG